rnacentral:rRNA from 1 species
CACAAGGGGUGAAGCCUGCGGUUCAAUUGGAGUCAACGCCGGAAAUCUUACCGGGGGCGACAGCAGAGUGAAGGUCAAGCUGAAGACUUUACCAGACAAGCUGAGAGGAGGUGCAUGGCCGUCGCCAGCUCGUGCCGUGAGGUGUCCUGUUAAGUCAGGU